rnacentral:rRNA from 1 species
AGUGGACGCUGGCGGUAGGCCUAACACAUGCAAGUCGAACGGCAGCACAGGAGAGCUUGCUCUCUGGGUGGCGAGUGGCGGACGGGUGAGGAAUACAUCGGAAUCUACUCUGUCGUGGGGGAUAACGUAGGGAAACUUACGCUAAUACCGCAUACGACCUACGGGUGAAAGCAGGGGAUCUUCGGACCUUGCGCGAUUGAAUGAGCCGAUGUCGGAUUAGCUAGUUGGCGGGGUAAAGGCCCACCAAGGCGACGAUCCGUAGCUGGUCUGAGAGGAUGAUCAGCAACACUGGAACUGAGCCACGGUCCAGACACCUACGUGAGGCAGAAGUGGGGAAUAUUGGAAAAUGGGCGCAAGCCUGAUCCAGCCAUACCGCGUGGGUGAAGAAGGCCUUCGGGUUGUAAAGCCCUUUUGUUGGGAAAGAAAUCCAGCUGGCUAAUACCCGGUUGGGAUGACGGUACCCAAAGAAUAAGCACCGGCUAACUUCGUGCCAGCCGCCGCCGUAA